UCCUGCAGAAUUCAGACAAGAAUUCAGCUUCCUGCAGUUGGCUAGGAAUCUCACAUACAGUAUUCUGAUGAUGGCAUGGGCGGCGACGACGGCCCUGAGAAGUCUUGGCCCUGCGAUUGGCCUGAUUACUAUGGUGGGAACGGGCCGUCCGGCGGACCUGGGUGAGGGGGGCAACAGCCUGACGCUGUCUCCGAGAUUUGGGCCUAAGUUUCUUAGGCAUCUGAGUUGCCCCUCCUCAUUUACCACCCCAUCAGAAAGAGGUGAGGGUAGGGGAACAGCCUGGACUGGCUGCUCCUCUGUCUCCAUGCCACUCCUCCCUCAGCGUCAUUAUGUGUUCAUCACAUGUCACGGGAAGGGUCAUGGAAGAAAAGGCUCUGUGGGAGGAUGAGCCAAGUUCCUGGUCCUGCGCUGGAGGUAGGGUCUGAGGCUCAGUUCGGCCAGAUCCUGGGAAGGAUGCCCCUACCAGGCAUCCCUUCUCGCCAAGAGAAAUAAGCAUCAUGAGCUACAGCUGAGGUUACAAAUUUCAAACUUUAUAAGCAGAAGUCAGAAGAAUGUCUCCACAAAUAGGGAGAGAACACACGGAGAAGUGACCAGUGAAGGACUGCUACCCAAAGUACACAAUGAACUCAUGACACUGAGUGAGCAGGGGACAACCUAAGUUAAACCUGAGCAAAGGACCUGAACUACACAGAGAAUAAGCCCAAGAAAGAUGACCACACCCGCCUCUAGAGGGCUACACUUAAAACAAUGUGAAGCCACUAUCACAGUGCCAAAUGCUGACAUGGGUGUGGGCCGCAGAAGCUCUCCUUUUUGCGGACAGCAGGAGGGCAGAGCUGCACAGCCAUUUCGGAAGACAGUCUGCAUGGACUCCUUUUCCAGCCGAGGCAUUCUGGAAGAGGUAAAACUACGGAGACAACAACAGGAUCAAUGCUUCUCGGGGACAGUGGGGGAGGGGACAAACAGAACACAAGGAUGCUUACAGUGUAAAUCAGUGCCCUAAGACACUGACGCGCUGUAUAUGCCACUGUAUGUAUGCCCAAACUUGCGCACUGUACAAACACUAAGAGUAACCCCAACAUGGAGGUGAUAUGUGUAGGUACAUGGCUUGUAACUCAGGCACCUCCCUGGUGCCACACAACAGUGGGAACAGUGAGCAGGUGGAAACUAAAUUUCGGUUCUGAAAAAAAAAGCUGGGAGUGGAAUGAAGAUGUACUUGAUGUAAGCAAACUUUCAUUUAAAGUGUCACACACACAUGUGCAGGGUGUGGAGAUCAGAAAACAAAUCUGCAGUCAUGGUCUCUCCUGCUGUCUGGGGACUUUGGGACAGAACUCAGGUUGUCAUGCCUGUGCACAGGCACCUCUAUCAGCAGCUUUGCCCACUGAGCCACGUGCUGGCCCCGACGGACCUUAUUCUUGACUGAAGCAGUUAGCCUAGUCCUAAGUCUGUAGCCACUGUAGCAUCUGUGGACUCUUUUUUUUUUUUCUUCUUUUUUCUUUUUUUCAGAGCUGGGGACUGAACCCAGGGCCUACCACUGAGCUAAAUCCCCAACCCCGCAUCUGUGGACUCUUAAAUGCAAGAUUUUACUUCCUGAGACAUUUUCCAUGAGUACAGUCUUCAAACAGCAGAUAGUAAAGAAAAAGAGAACUGAGAACUGGCUGUGUCUACGGCAAGUACUUCUCUCGCCCAUACUUGGUUAUGCGGGCACUUUGAUACCAUUCCUUAUUUUUGCUACUGAGUCCCUCUGCCUUUUCUCGUGGAAAGACGCCCUUUAGAAGUACCUGUGGAAAUCACUCAGGUCUUCUGCAUCAAUAUAGUCAUCUAAGUUCAGAGUCAAGUCUGCCACCUGCUGUGUGCCAUGCUCCUAGAAGAGUGAAAACAGAAAAUGAGAGACGGGUAUAUUUAUUUCCCAGUUUAUUGGUAACAAGGGAAGCUGGGCAACGAACUGUGGUACCCAGUGCAUACAUAACCAUAAUCUGGAGCAGCACAGAAACAGGCCCAACUAAGGGCAGGCAUCUUGCUCAGGAAGGGAACAUGGAGCACUGUAGACUGAGUACUAAUCAACACCCAACCUCAAGAGGGCAAGCAACAGUGGUUUCUAGGGUUUGGGGUACUGCUUUUGUUUUUGUUUUUAAAGAUUUAUUUAUUUUUAUGUGAGUAUAUCAUUGUCUUCAGACACACUAGAAGAGGACAUCAGAUCUCAUUACAGAUGGUUGUGAGCCACCAUGUGGUUGCUGGGAAUUGAACUCAGGACCUCUGGAAGAGCAGUCAGUGCUCUUAACCACUGAGCCAUCUCUCCAGCCCUGGGGAGAUGUGUAACUUUGAAUCUACCUUAAUGAGCUAUUUCCAUUCUUUUAAUCCGCUUAAAUUAACCUAAAGGAAUUGUUUGUGACUAAGAACCCAGUUCUUAGAAAAGAAUUAUAUGUUCACCAAUAAAGAAAAGGCCAGUGAAGUAACCUUCACACAUGUUGAAUGGAAAAGUCAAGUACAAAUAAUGCAGUCAGACACUUUGUAAGCACAUGCAACCAAGACAAAAUGGAACAGAAAGAAAGUCAUUUACUUCCGUGUGUUCACAGUUCAGGGGAGAAUACGAGCAUUAGAGCAGAGCACAGGUAAGUACACAAACACAAGACAUGGUAGGUACCAAAUGGAAAAUAGAAAGAAAGCUAUCAUUUAGACUUUUCUGGCAGGUAAGGUGGAUAGUCAGGGCUGAACGCUCAUGCAAGAGCAUAUACACACACACACACACAUACACACACACACACACACACACACACACACACACACGUGCGCGUGCGCGUGCGCAAGAGGAGGGGCAGGCUAAAGGAAUGACGGCAGAAGGUAUAUACACGUGUACAAUGUAUUGGAGGUGUCAGCUCCAGAGCAGGAUUCAUGGACUGUAAAGGGCCCAGACAGUACAACUUCUUACUUACGAAGAUAAAAGAGAUGCUGGGGCUAACUACAGUAGCCUUUACCUCCUGUGCUGCCAGUGAGUGCUGCUGUGGACAGGAAGUUCCUUUUUGGUAUAGUAGAGGCAAUGAACACCUUUGAGCACAAAGCUCUCCUACAUACAUACACUAUGGUUUCUCACCUCAGGAGAAAAUGCCCAAGGUGGGAUUGCUAGGUAAAAACUUUGGGGACAUUUCUGAAUUCACUGUUAAAAUGAGUUUCUAAACAGGCAUCUCAACCCCACACCAUGAGCAGAACCCGGGUCAGACUCACCAGCACAUUGAUGAUCAUGCCGUUCUCCACAGACACAGCUUUCAGAAGGAGUUUUCUGGCACCGUCCUUAGACUCAUACCGGAGGGCAUACAGUUCUUUAUUGCUGUUCCACUCAGCCGGCAGUAGUUCUGACUUCUUAUCAUUGGGGUCUGGCUGAGAAGACACCAGGCUUAAGAAUAGGAAGAGCUUGGCCUCAGAACCCAAAACUACAAAGGACCAUAUUGCCCAGACCUCAUCCCGUCCCUCACACCACAGACGUGUCCAGGGAUACACAGCUAGUUAGAGGUCUGGGAACGACCAGUCUUACUCAGCUGUGUGGUUGCUUUGAGGACAACACAGGAAGAACCUGCCGAGAAGCUAAGGCCUUGGGCUGGGACUAAAGCUAAGUAGUAGAGUGUCCUACCGUGUAAGAGGACCUAGGUCCCAGAGCCACCCAAAGCUAAAAUAACUAACAGCCCUGGCUUUUCUACUCUCUCUACUCUGUCAUCCUAACAAGAAUAAGGCCAGUGUGGAAUUAAAAGCAGUAUUUCCCACAAUUCACACCUUGGGCUAUCUGUAAUGGCAUCACAAAUGACUAAAAGCACAGAUCCUAAAAGACUCCAACAAUUGAGGCGGUUUGAUAAAAAUCGUGAUCGUAAACCCCAAAUGGAGCACACAAACAAGAUUUACAAGUUGUAAAAUAGGUCCUUAUGUAGCCUUCAGCAGCAUAGAAGUUCAGUGUCAUCAGUCAAUACGCAUUACCACUAAAGCCUAUGCACAACCAAUAUUCUGCAUUGUGUGUGUGUGUGUGUGUGACUUUUGUAUUUGUAUCAUGUUUUCGUUUCCUUCACAUUACAUCACUGUACACAAAGCUCAGCCUGGAUACUCUAUUCCAGAGUAACCAUUUUGACGCCCAGUACCCACAUGGAGGCUUUCAACCAUCUGUAACUUGUCCUACGGGAUCUGGUGCCCUCUUCUGGCCUUAGUGGGUACCAGACAGGCAUAAGACACACAGACAUACAUGCAGACAAAACACUGAUACACAUUAAAUAAGCUAAAUAUAUAUUCAAAUAUAAUAUAAACUAUCCAUCCACCCACCCACCCAUCUAUUCUAAUGCUUUUGAAUUCAGUUGCUUUCCACCUUAUUGUCUGAAACACGGUCUCUCAAUGAACCUGGAACUAAGUGACUCAGAAGGCUGGCCAGUGAGCUCCAGGGAAGUGCCUCUUCCUCUACUCAACACCACACCUGGCUUUGAUAUAGGCGCUAGGAACAAAAACUCAGGUACUCAUGCUUUCAGGGUAGGCACUUCACCGACUCAGCCAUCUUCUUGGCCCAACCCUUGCCCUUUUUAUCCAGUGUUGUUUUGGGAAGGUGAUCAGUUGUCUGUAUCUGAUCCACAGGCACAACUAUACUGGGCUGCACAACAGAAUAUGCUAGGAUUUACAAUUUCACUGGCUGACAGACAUUAGAAGUUCAUUAGAGGUUAUAAACAAUGCUGCUAUGACCAUAUUGUUGUACACAUCUGGCACACAUGUGGUAUGCCCAGAGGAAGAACUUUCAUAAGAUAAAAGCAAACUGUGUACCAGAUACUGACGGGCACUCUCACCUUGCAAUAUGCAAUCUUCUGGUGCUACACGCAGCCUGCAGGAUUGCUAUUACCUUCUCGUUUGUCUCUGCCAAGCCGGUGGGCUGUAAAAUGUAUCUGUGUCUCCUUUAUUUUCCUAUUUCAUAAUUCUAAGAUUUCCUUGUCUUAGUUAUAACUUCUAUUGCUGUGAUUAAAACACCAUAACUAAAAGCAACUUGGGGAGGAAAGGGUUCAUUUUUAUUUACUUCAUUAUUGAUUUUUCUAUACCAUCAUGUAUCAUAGAAGGAAGUCAAGGCAGGAACCUGGGGCAGGGACUGAAGCAGAAGCUAUGGAGGAACUGCUUGCUGGCUUGCUCAGGUUGCUUUCAUACUCACCCCACCCAGGACCAACUAACCAGUGAGCUGGGCCAUCUUUCCCUCAGCAAUCAUUCGUCAAGAAAAUGGCUUACAGAUUUACCUAUCUCAUGGUCAAUCUUAUGGAGGCAUUUUCUCAAAUGAGACUCCUCUUCCCAUGUAACUCUAGCUUGUGUUCAAAGUCCCCCCCCACCCACAAAAAAAACCCCCAAGCAACAAAGACAUUCCCUUUCAAACAUUAAAGUAUGAGAGUACUUCACAAUUCACAGUAAAAACAAGCAGUGACUUUCAGGUAGGGAAUAAAGUUCUUAAGCAGGACCACUAAAAGAAACAGAAUGCCACUUGUGAGGCUACCCAUAACUUAGAGCUUCUGUUCAGCCAUGACACUUCAGCGAAAAGGAACCACAAAUGACAAGAAUUAAUAACCAGACAUAGGGAAGGCUUGGAAAACAAGCAACAGAAAGCGCAGCUAACCAUAUAAACGUUGUUUGGCCUUCCAAAUGUACCAGCUACCAAGGGCAGCUGAAAUAGUGAGAUGAAGGCUACACCAGCCUAGGACUGUGAGUCUGACUGGGCAUGUGUGAACCUUCAGACAGUACUUCCGGGAAUUUGAACUUACACAGUCCCUUUGGGAUACCAUCUAGCAGUACUUAGUACUUUUAGGUGACCAUAUAAGCCAGGACUCAAAUGUCCGCCUAGAAGGAAGCUGUGGAGAUACAUGGGAGCCUGAGAAGCAGUGUCCACCUUCAUCCCAGCCUGGGCUUAAACAGUCGAAGCAGAGGUAAAAUGCAUACUAAGUUGACACUGGCUUAUUACACUGCAGUCAGAAGGAACACACUAGAUCUAAUUAAAGUAUUCGUGUGUGUGUGUGUGUGUGUGUGUGUGUGUGCGCGCGUGUGUGUGUGUGUGUGUGCACGCAAGUGUGUGUGCCUGAGUGUCCACUGGCAAUCAAGGGCCAGGAGAAGAGGAGUAAUUCUAUGAAACACUCUCCUCUGGGCACACCAUGCACAUAGCACUCAUGAACACCACCUUCCUAAGAGCAAGUCACCAAGAUAAGCAAUAUUCUGUCAGGAAGCACCAACUGGACUCUGUGGGUUAUGAGUGGGGUACAUGAAGUGGGAAUUUACAGGGGGAGAGGGAGGAGUUGGGAAAAGUUUACGGACCAAUACCGUUGAUGAAAAAGCACACGUUACAUUGUCAACACAGAAUAGCAUGACCAGAAGCUGUGCUCAUGAGAACAUGGUGGGAUGGGAAGGAGUGAGGCUAGAGAUGGAGAACACUGACAAAGGUCCACACAGGAAGGACUUUACACAGCAAAUGCAAGGGAAGGCCACCCCUGGUACUUGGAAAUCCUUUGGCAGAGGAGUCCCAUCAAACUUGGCUAGGUGACAAGGAAACUGGGCUUCAAGCAAAGUCAGGAGAGUAAGGAGAAAACAAAACUGAAACUAGCCACAGCCCUGAGAAACCCUCUUGCCUUGCUGGGUAAUGUGCUACUGUGGUGUGGACUUCAAGGGUUACUUCCGGGUGUUUAAGACAAGGCUGGCAGACCUUACCCAUGUUCUGUCAAGACCUUUGACUUUACUUUCUCCUGUCCUAUAUGGACAGCAUUGACCCUACUAGCAGGCUCUCUUGGCUUACAGACAACCUCUUCUGCUCCCCACAUCAACACCUUCUCGACAGAGCAAGAGAGAACUGCUGGGGUCAGGUAACAACAGAUAAAGCUGUUGCCUCACUAUGGUAAGACUGAUGCUUCAUCCAGACAGGCCCAACACAUCAUGUGGCUGCCCUCUGCACCUUGAGAUAAAAUAUCAAGUGUCCCAGAAGGCUAUGCUUGGCAGGUAACCAAAGCAUCAUUUAACUCCCUCAGAUGAAAACUCGAAGGCCUGAGAGGACAGAGCAGGUCAGGCUGGAGAUCCUUCCCAGACAGACUGGCCCUAAGAAGGUAAAGGUAAUUCUUAGGCAAAUCCUGAGGCUAGAAACACUUUUUAAUGACCACUGAGCUCACUCCAGUGCCUCUGGGCUAGAACGCAACCAACCAACCAACCAAAACUGCACUCAAAAACAGCUCAUUUUCUCUUUAUAAUCUACAGACUCCCACAACACAAAGUCAAAUUUUCUAACUCGUACCUAUGGCCUUCUCCACAAGGAGACCAAUCAAUGCCUGAUCUUUGUUCGAGUCAACAAACUUGUUCUUGAAAUCAAAUAUUACAAGCCCAGCUCUGUAGCACUAGAGACAAAAGCAAAGAAAAAGUGGGCAGCACAGCUCUCUAACUGCUGAGUUGGUAUUACAGAGUCAAGUGCAUGCUUUGUUUCUCUCUUACUACCCACAGAAGGUGGGUGGCAGGAGGCAGCUAAAGACAACACAAAUACCCUCUGGAAAAUAAAAUUCUCUAAAGAUAAGUUAACAGUUAAUAGUCUCUCAAUUUUUAAUUGAUUAAUUUUUUUUUUCUUCUACCCUGAAAAGACAUACCCGUCAGCAGAGUGGAGGGUAAAGGCAACUUGAGCCCUGAAAGGACUUUGGGAGAAUGGGCAAUAAGAAACAAACAAAGCAUUCUAGUAUGAAACCCAAACACUGUCCUCUCUAGGGGCAAGCUGGAGUUAGCACUGAGGUAGACAGCUGGUCAGCAGACAGUGCUUUCUAAAAGUCCCAUUCCCCAGGCUCCUAGGCCCUCCCAAAGAUGUCUGGAUCUUGCAUCCUGAGGAACUACUUGAGGUACGGAAGAAGAGAAGAUGGGGAAGGGGAGAGGAGAGAAAUCAGUAAAAAUGUUUAUGUAUUGAUUCCUUCUGGUGGGGGUUAAGGGUGAAAGGGGGCUGAGUGGUCUGAGUUCCUAGUUAUAUAGGACAGACAUGAAUGGAACCCAGCAGGGCCAUGCCUGGUUAAAUACUCAGGGUGUUCAAAGUGUGUCCAUAAAGCUGUGUAAGGAGAGACAAUGUCCUAAGACAGACAGAUAUCUAAGAAGCUAAAAAUAUUUAGGGGUUUGGGAAUUGAUGCAGCUAGAAAUGAGAGGAAGAUUAAAAUCUCACCACAAAAUCCAAGGGGUGAGGGGAGCCUUCUUUUCAGAAUUGGUCUGAGUUAUGUGUGCCAAGACAGUGACAGUGGGGCAGGCUCAGAGUCCUGAGUCCCCAAAUGUUUGUAUGUGGGGAUUGUGGCUAGGAGGAUAUUUCCUCUGAUGGAGCAGAUAGUAAAUGAAAGGGCAGAAAGGAAACCAAGGCCAGUUCACCCCAAAACCUACAGGCACACAUGGAGGGUGAGGGUUGUGAGGAAGGAGCAGAGAAAUGGAGACUGCUAGGGCAGAGAAAUAGUGAUACUAAGGAGGUGUCAGCAAAGCAUCAUUGGCCAAGAGGCCGAAUCUGGAGAUGAGAGAGUAGACGGGAUUCUGGUGACGACAGCUAGGGGAAGACGCUCACAGUCAAGGUUUACGUGUGUAGUUACUAGGUUAAGUGCUACCUAGGUUCUGUUUCUAGGCCUGUAGACUGUGAAUGGGCAGUGAGUGGGCUGUGGCUGAUCCAUCAUGCUGAGUGGUGAGGAAGGGGUCCUAGAAUAUGGCUGAGUGGGUCAAAGUUCACUGCCACACUUGUGCUUGGAUCCAGGUGACUAGAGUUGGGUGUGUAGCACUGAGUAUUCCAUGGCAUGAGCGUGUGAUAAAGAUGAUUUGGAGAAAUCGGGUGGAUGAGGACCCUGAGGAAGCUACUAGCCUGUCUCGGUCAAAUCCACACAACAGGGCCUAAGCGACUGCUUAGCUGUGUCUGGACACCUUUCCGUUCUCAAGUUUACACACACGCUGUGCCAGUUGUUGGCACCAGCGUCAUGGGCGCAAAAGUGCGGCGUCAGAAGCCUCGGGCCCUGGCUUUAGACUCUGGUUUCAGAUUCCCCUCUACCCAGGCUGGCUCCGCAGCGUACCUGGUCGCCGGUGCCCAAGCCAUAGUAGCCGUUUGUCACCACUUCCCAGUGCAAGAAGCAGACGAGUGCGUCCUGUGGGCAGGUCAUGGCCGGCGCGGCCGACGCGAAGAGAACCUCCAAGCCCGCCAUGGAUGUUUGCGGCUUCUAUGGGAAAGGAAGAAGAGGAGGGGACUGUGCAGCAAGCCGUUCUGCCUAAAAGAAGCGGGACUGCAAACAGCGGUGACGCCUCUGAAUGUUGCCUUCGCUUUCGGCUCUGUCUGCACCUGCGCGGAAACGCGGAAACGCAGAAACUCGCACCGGAAAUAGCUGCUGAUUUGUGGACUCUCCGGGCUGGAAACACCUCCGCGAACUAGAGGGUUCCGCUAGGAAGCGCGUGGGUAAGACGUAGCUUCUCAAAGCCUAUCUGCCUACAGCAGAUGGAUUGCUGAGUGCCAGGCUGUUGGUCCUGGGGAGAGGCCGACUGCUGCCAUCUACAGUAGACUUCUCAUCUGCGAAGUGGAGUGUGUACUAGGCCAGGGAGGAAUUUAGGCAAUCUGUCUUAGAUGUUUUCAUAGUAAUUUAUUAGCAUGCCUUCAGUGCUUGCCUGGUAGCACUUUAUUCUGCAUUCUAAACUUUAAUGCAUUUAUUGAACUCUCCAGAUCCAAUCUUAUACAGUUGGUGUUGAUGACAGUGCUAUACCACUACGUAGAUUUGGAAAUCGUGUCACAAUCAGCCAAUGAGCAAUAGAGAUGCUCCUCGGAACUGGUCAUUGCGUUUCUAGGAUAGCAUUUAUAUGUAUGUUGAUUGCAUGCUAACUCCUGUGCCAAAAUCUUCACGCUCCUCUCAACAAAUUCAUGGGGUAUAUCUUAUUACUUACCCUCAUCUUGCAAGUGACAAAAAGAUCAGAGAGAGAGAGAGAGAGAGAGUUGAAAUGAUUUCACCCAAGAAAACACAGCUUUUGACCACACCUGCUAAUUGCCAAAUGUCAACCACUUGUUCCUCGAUCUCCAUCAAGAUUUUUUUUUUUAACCAGCAGAUGUUUCUCCAAGUUUCUUGAAGUCCAAUACUUUUUUUUUUGUAGUCAAAUAAAUUUUCACUUGUUAGUUGGUACCAUGACCCAAACCUUUGUCAUUUUUUGUUUGGUUGCCUGGCAUCAGCCUUGCUUGGCUGCCCUAUUUGCACCCUACAACCAGAGAGAUUCUGUUAAAACACAGGGAAGACCAUGUUCCUUAGGCCCAAGCCACCCAGAGUUCCCACCACAAAGGAGAAGGUUACUCUAGGUCUGCCACUCUCUUAUAGGCCCUGUGCCUUUCUGAUAUCACCUCCAAGUGUCCUUUCAUUCUCUGAUCGCCUGGCUCCAAUGGCCUUGACUUCUCUCAGCCCUCAUGCCUAGGCGAACAAGCCAUCGGUCUUGCCAUGAUGGAACUUUGUAGUGUUUUUUUUUUCAAUAGACAAAAAGCAAGCCAGUAUGAAAUCUGUCGUUUGGAGGUGCUUAGAGGCCUAGGCAAAGCCCACAGGAAGCAUAUGUGUCAAGUGAAGAUCAGGAAGGGUUUCUUGGAUAAAGAAAUGGCAAUUGCACAGAACUCUCAUGGAAGGAUAAAGAAAAAAUGUUCCCGUAAAAGAAUAUAGCAUGUGCAGGCACCAAGGUGGGAAAUGGAGCUCUCCCUGUGUAACUGGAGAAUCAACACUGCCUCUCUAUCUCUUCCUCAUCCUUAAUUACUCUCCACACUCGUCGUUCUCAAUCUGGAGGUCAUGGCCCCUUGGGGGUUGCAUAUCAGGCAUCCUGCAUAUUAGAUAUUAUGAUUCAUAACAGUAGCACAGUUACAGUUAGGAAGUAGCAAUGAAGUAAUUUUAGGUUGGGGGGUCACCAUAACUCUGUAUUAAAGGAUCGCAGCAUUGGAAGGUUGAGAGCCACUGCUCCACACCGUGCUGGAGGAGUCUGGUGGUAUGCCAAGGGGGCAGGCAUGUAACAGAGAAUGCGAUCAGCUCCAGUAGGGUGGAGAAUUUUAUCACUGAAGUAGGUUAGACUUGCUGGUUCAUGAUGAUAGCAAAACUCAGGCUGGACUUUUGGUCAUCUUUAUUAGUGGUUUUAAGGUUUUUUUUAUUCUUUCUUUCUUUUUCCUGCUGUUGUUUUGUCUUUUGGUAAUGAGGCCUAAGCCACCAGUUCUCCCACCCCUACCCUUGGUUCCACAUGGCUUUGCAUACCAUUGAUUAUGGCUUGCAGCUCUCAUACUUCCCUUUUCUUUUAUACACUAUUCCCUUUCUUAGCGUGGCUUCCCCCAAAAGUCAGUACUGAAGGUAUGUAUGGUGGCUUGUGUCUGUAAUCCCAGGACUUGGGAGGAAGAGGCAGGGUGUAAGGAGCUUAAGGCCCAUCUCAGAUUGGUGAUGAGUUAAGGCUGUCCUAGUCUACAGGAGAUCCUGUUGGGAGCCUGAGUGGCUUUAUUUGAGAGCUCCUAGCAGGAGGGUGGGCUAAAGGAGGUACCCGAUAAGCCUCUGAGAGCAGUUGGAACUCACACUUGCUGGCAAACAGUGAGGAGAGCGUAUAAAAGAUCUCAGAGAUGUCCCAACUCAGGACUGGGAAACUAGGAUAGUAUUUCACUCGGGUAAGAGCUUCUUCUAGAAUUAUGGAAAGCCCUCGGGUAGAGAGUUACAGAAUUCAAAGGAAGUGACUCUGGUGCUUACUGGUGACCUCUGGGACAAGCAGGACAUGACAUUUGCUGGGGUCCUCCUACCUCAGCUAAGGGUGAUUUGUGCCUCAGAAAGUCUGUGUUCCAGUAGUCAGUUUGGAAAAGGCAUUAGUGCAUUGAAAGAACAGAGCUAAGCUGUCUUCUGCACCAGCCUAUAAGUCCCCUGAGGGCCUGGCUGUGUUCCAUCCAUCCUGUCCCCAGCAUCUUCCACCCAUGAGAAAAAGUAAGAAGAUUCUCUGCCUCCCUUGGUCUAUCCAGGUGUUUCUGUAGACUUACCUACAUCAGCAAGGGCCCGGGUCUGCCCUGGGAGUCCUGGGAGGAGCUGAGACAGGGAGCAGGUGGGAGAUGCCUCCCUGGCCCCCCGGUAGACCCAGUCUACCUAGGUGGAAAGGGGCCCAUGCCUGAUUAGGGAAUAGGGUGAAAGGAAAAACUGGUAGGUGGCAGCAGCCACCAGUUCCUGGUUGCCAAGUGACAGCAAUGUGUACAUUCCAAGCUCUGUGCUCCCUUGGAAACUGUUGAGAUAGGAUCUACAGGUCAGGCCAUGGGACCAAUGAGGAAGAGCCCAACUAGCAUCCUUUUCUUUUCGCUUCAGCUCAGCUGCUGACCUCCAGAGAGAUGUCUACGAGAGGUAUUUUUCUUUACAUCCACCAAAUGACUGACUAGAGUGUAAGACUUCCCCUCUACUCCCCACUGGGUGUACAGUGCAAUUGCCACUAAAAGCAAACAGCUUUCUUUUGAAAUAUAAUUUUAAUAUAACACUAUUAGUUUUUCAAACAUUGUUUUUUUUAUAUUGCGGCCAAACACACAGAACAGAGUUUAUUUGUCAUCUUAAUCAUUCGUAAUCACUUAAUUUAGUGACACCAAGGGCAUGUGUAUUGUGUAAGCUUCACCACCCCUCGGCUCCAGGCAUUUCAUUUUGCCAGGCUGAGACUCUGCUCAUUAAACAGUAAGUUCCCACAUCCUCCUCUUUCAGUGGGUGGCAGCAACAAUUCUUCACUUUCUUUCUGCGUGGUUGGUUUUGUUUGCUUGUUUUGUUGUUGUUGAGACAGGGUUUGGCUGUGUAGCCCUGGCUGUCCUGACACUAACUCUGUUUGUAGACUAGCCUGGCCUCAAACUCAUAGUGAUUCGAUCCUCUGCCUUCUGAGUGCUGGGACUAAAAGUGUGCGCCACUGCCCGGCCACUAUUUGACUUUCUAUCUGUGUGGAUUUGACUCUGUGGACGUGGCGUACACAUAUGACUCUGCUUCUGUGCCUUUAGGGAUUUAAACCUAGAGAGAGAAUUGCUGGAUCAUACAACAUUUUUAUUUUUGAUUACUUUAAGGCAGGGUUUUAUGUAUCCAAGGCUGGCCUCAAACUCAUUAUAUAUGAUCCUGCUGCCUUCGCCUCCCGAAUGCUGGCAUUACAGGUGUGUACCACCACUCCUAGUUUUUGUGAUGCUGGACGUAGGAGUCCAGGGCUUGGUGCAUUCUACCAAGAAUUCUACUGAGUAAGAUACAGCCCAACCCUCUAUUUUUAAGUUUUUGAGGACCUGGACCUACACACAUACUAUUUACCUGGGGUCUAUACUGCUUUUUAUUCCCAUAUACAGUGCAUACAGGUUUCAAUCUGGCCAGCAUUUUUUUGACAGGAGUCACUCUAAUGAGUGUGAAGUGAUAUUUUCUUGUUACGCUGUGUUAGGUGUCAUUAUGGCGUCCACUGUCCUUUUGGUUUGCAUUUCCUUCAUGCUUUGUGGUGCUGAACAUCCUCUGGUGUGGCUUUUAUUUGGAGAAAUGUCCGUUUAAAGCAUCAACUUGUUUUCUAAUUUUCGGGAUUUUUUCUCAUAUGUUUUAAGUGUUAUUUCUAUAUUGGCUGCAUUGAUUUACAAAUAUUCCUUCUCUUUCUGUAGGUUGCUUUUUUUUUUACUUUAUUUGAUAGUAUCUCAUGUUCUUUCUUUUUCUUUCUCUGUAUGCAUUGCAUACUUGUGUGCAUUCAUGAGUUUGUGCAUUCGUGUGUGUGUGUGCAUUUGUGUAUGUGUGUGCAUUUGUGUGUGUUGGAGACCAGAGGACAGCCUCUAGUGCCAUUUCUUUCUUUUUUUUUCUUUUCUUUUUUUCAGAGCUGGGGACUGAACCCUUCUAGUGCCAUUUCUUAACAAAUGUCCACCUUGGUUUUUUGUUUCUUUGUUUUUGAGGCAGGGAUUCUCACUGGGAGCUGGGGCUUGCUGAUUCAGUAGGCUGACAGAUCUGUGAUUGAGGUAUUUUCCAGUCUUUGCUUCCCCAGUGCUGUGAUUGUAACUGUAUCCCACUCUGCCUGAUGUCUUUAUGCAGAUGGUGGGAAUCAAACCUGCAUCCUCAUGCCGGUGCAGCAGGCCGAGCUGUCUCCCCAGCACCUGUUGAUAGCAUCUUUCUACAAACAUCUUAAGUGUCCUUGAGGUCCGUGCUCAGCAGGCUGCUUCUGAAGAGAGAGGCUGCUCUGGGAGUACAGUGGAGCCACAUCUGGAGACUGUUAGCACACUGUACUCAUUGCUGCUUGAAGAGCAUCUUUCUUGAAGUAACCAUUCUAUGGAUGGAAUUAGAAAUAUGUAAUUCUUUUGAGUCUGUCUGUCUUUGACAUGUCUGAGAUCUGCCCAUCCUGAUGGAGGUGCCAAUCUUUUCUCUGUUUUUUUUUUAUUUAUGUUGUUGUAUAGAUAUAACCCAAUUUAUCCACUUCUUUUUUUAAAGAUUUAUUUAUUUAUUUUAUGUACAGCAUUCUGCCUGCAUAUGUGACUGCAGGCCAAAAGAGGAGGGCACCAGAUCUCAUUACAGAUGGUUGUGAGCCACCAUGUGGUUGCUGGGAACUGAACUCAGGACUUCUGGAAGAGCAGUCAGUGCUCUUAACCACUGAGCCAUCUCUCCAGCCCAAUUUAUCCAUUUCUUUACUGAUAGGCACCUGGGCUGUUUUCAUGGGCCACACUUCUGUGAACAUUCCUGUACCAGUCUUGGCACGGACAUACGCUUCCAUUAGUCCUGAGUAAAUUCCUUUGAGUGGAAUUGCAUGGUAUUAAACUGGCUCAUAUUUAUCAGACACUGACAAAUGGAGUUACUAAAUGGUUAUAUCACUCCACCCCUCACCCCAUCAGUGAAUGAGAAUCCUAGUGCUCCACAUCCAGCAGGAAGGGAUUUACUAUGGAAUGUGCUUACAAAACAGUUGGAUAGUGUAACACUUCCCCUGAGGAAUCCCUUUCUAUUCAUCCCUGAUAGGGUACCAACAACAUACCAAAGACACGAUUCUACCCAAGUCCAUGUUGGGGGAAUCAAUGAGUUGAAUUUUACAGGAGCAAACCGAAGUGUUUUACCAAAAAGUCCCAUCUUGGAUGCUGACUUCCCCAAAGCUGUAUAAAUGAAGUCUCCCGUUAGUUAGCCUCCCAGCUCCUGCAUAGCAUAGCAUCUUCUGAGACCAUGUCCCGCUGAAGUGGGAGUAAAUGUGCGUGUGGGGAAGUAGGGUAUGUGAGUGGAGAGUAUGAGUGAGUGUGAGAGAGAAGGUGAUAUGGGUGUGUGAAGUGGGGAGCUGGAAUCUUGGGCGAUUGAUAACUCCAUUUCAGUUCAAAUGCCAAUGCCCUAGGUUGAGAUUUCAGAAGUGUGUGGUAUGGUCACAGGAGCACAGAUUCCCAUCGUCACCCUUAGCAGCCUGAAUAAUUAGUUCCUCUAAAUAUUUCCCCUUCUCUACCUUACCCUGAGGCUCAUCUGUUUAAUUUGGUCCCCAGCUGGUGGUGCUUUCUGAGGGAGCCUGUGGAACCUUUGGAAGGGUAGAUUUCACUGGAGAAAGAGGAGUUUAGGAGGCCCAACCCAGUUAUAAUCAUUUUCUCUGCCUCCUUCUCCACAUGUUGUGCUCCAAGCUCCUGUGGCUAGGGACAGAAGUUAAUCUCACCGCCAUGCCUUCCCAAGGAAAAGAAUGAGACAAAAUAAACCCUCUUUCCUCAAGCGGCUUCCUGCCCAGUUAGUAUCUCCUGGCAAAAAGAAUAGUAUUAAUAAUAACUAAUACACAUUCUAAGUCCAUCCCUCUGACAGCAUUUCUCCCAGUCUGCAGGAACCCACCCCUGAAAUCUGAAGUCAACGCAGGGACCAUUCACAUACUGUGAGCUAUUUUGAAGGCAUCAGGUGGGUGAAGGAAGGGCUAGGAAAAGGGAAGAGCCCACGCCAAGAACAGAGAGAUAAGUAUAAGCAUGAAAAGUCCCUUCCAACUGCAGGGACUUUGGAAGGCCCAUGUAGAGGCGAGGGAAGCCACUAGAGGGCGUCCGUAUCCGUACAAAAGCUCAGGAAAGGGGCGGGGCCUGCACCUUUUUACUGCUUUGUUCUUUCAGGUGGUUUUCACUGAAUCCUUGAAGGUUCACAAUACCCCGGCAGGUUCAUAAGACCCCAGGAGGCUGUUUACAUCGCGACCUUCAGCUCUGCACAUCAUUUGAUUUCAGGAGAGGGAGGCCUUAUGGGAUGCCGUUGCUUUGCUUCUGAAAGUACACCCUUUCCCCGCCCCAUCAAUGAAGGUGAAGGGGAGAGAAAGAGGUGAUGGUUUCUUUGGCUGCUGUUGUAAUAAGAAUCAGCUAUUGGUGUCUACGGCCCUGUUAAAAGACAAUUGUCAAGGGAACGAACUAAGAUCACGACCCUUACAGAGCUAUGAAAGAGACUAUAUUGUAAGAUUUUACUUCACUUGUUAAAAGUGCGAGGGAACGAUACAGAUGAUACAGAUGUUAUAACGGUCUAAAGGGACUGGAUUAUAAAGGCCGACUCUGUGUUUCCUCAAAGGGAAAUAAAAAGAUGCUACCACAUAACAGAGUUUGCACAGCUAAGGCUAUCUUUAAUCUACAGGUGGUGGCGGUGGGGUGUGCAUCAAGCUUAAGGGACAGUCGGAAAGGCUCUGAGAUUCCAGCUUCUUAUGCUGGUCAAAUGAAGCACUUCUCAGCUUCUCUGGGUCUUGGUUUCCUCCUCUAUAAAAUGGGGCUACUAACUGGUUUCCCUUCCUGACUGCUGAGGAGAUGGAACGAGCCUCUAGCUGCUUUUGCUCAUGAGGUAUAAGCAAGCUUUUACUCCCUUUCCUUGUUCCUUAACAUCCUCUCUGGGACCCUCCAUCCCUGGGUCGGGUACCUUGUUUUGGAUUCCCUCGUUCCAUCUUCUGCGCUUCCCAUGAUGAGAGAGACUCUGAGGAGCAGACCAAACUUACAAAGGCGGUGGCACUUCAAGGAUGCUCUCUGUAUCCCACCACACAUGGAGACUUAAUGCUGGCAAUUGAGUCAAGUGAUGCCCCAGGCAUGGUUUGGAACUGCAGGGGUACCCUGAGGUUACGGUCUCCCUCCCUGAUGGAAUCCCUUCCUCUGCCCCAGAGAGUUGGAGAACUCACCUCCUGAAUGCUGCCCGCUCCACUUCUUCCCCGUUGCAGGGCUGACAAGCUUCCAGACCAGAGCAGCCUGGGAAAGGCCUGGCAGGUGGCGUGGCUGUGGUGAGUCAUGGCAACUGGCUGGCAGGGAUGGAGCAGGGAUGGCUUCUAGCCUUUAGCACAUGAACUCCAGACCAUCCAGCAGUGCCAUAGUUUCCACCUCGCUCACAUGGCCUGGCAGAUAGGGCCAGCCUGGCUGGACUCUAACGAAAAGAAAGAAAAAGGCACAGCUUACCCUCUAGGUCAAACCUACGUGGACGGUGAAGGUAAGCAGGAUGGGCAGAGGCUAGCCUCCUCUGCAGCCGUGUUCUAGUUCUCCUGAGUGACCUCCCUGUCGCUCCUCUUCUGACAAUGUCAGCAAGGUAAGGUUCCUGCAUCACUUAGGGUCUUGAGUGACCCAGAUCUGGGCCAUUGAUUGGCAGGACAGAUAGAGCUUUUGUCUUUAUAGAGACUUAGUUAGAAAAGAAUGACAAUUCAAACUGAUGUGUUUAAAAAAAAAUGUAUCUAGUGGCUUCCGUACCAAAACUGUCCUAAGGAGAAGGCACACCAGAGGAGGAUAGGGGGUGAGGGGAUGUGCUUUAGCCUAGAAGACCACACUGACAAGGAAUAUCAGAGUAGAGAGCCAGCGAUGAAUGGAGUCAGGUGAUAACGGAGGCAGGGGGACUAGCGGGUGCAAAGGUUCCCAAAGACCAAGGAUGCCUGACAUGUGUGGCUGGAGUAAAGAGGGAGACAAGGGAUGAGACUUGGAGUCAAAGGUAACAAAUAUUAUCUGGGUCUUGUAGGGUCAAGGAAAGGAAUGGGACUUUUUUUUAAAGAUUUAUUUAUUAUAUUUAAGUACAUUGUAGCUGUCUUCAGACACACCAGAAGAGGGCAUCUGAUCCCAUUACAGAUGGUUGUGAGCCACCAUGUGGUUGCUGGGAUUUGAACUCAGGACCUCUGGAAGGACAGUCAGCGCUCUUAACCACUGAGUCACCUCUCCAACCUAGGAAUGGGAAUUUUUAAAAGAAAAUCUUUUAUUUCAUGUGCUGAAAACCGUUAGAUUCCUGCUGGCUUCGCCGAUAAGGGGGAUUGAGGAAAGAGAGAGAAGCGGAGGGGCCUACAGCUGAAACAAGGACCACUCCUGGCAACCAGCCUGGCUCUCCGUUUCAGGGUGUCCAGAUGGGGAGCCAGAGGGAGGACUGGUGCCUGGUUAUGGAGCAAUGUUCAUCAGGGACCUUGAUGUUGGUAACGGCUGGGCCACCUCUCUGAGUCACCUAAAACCCCCACGUGAGUGGCCUAUGCCACAUCGGGUUGCUGCCUGCCACCAUCCACCAGCCUCGGAGUGGCAGGGCUUCCCUGUGGCAGCAGUGCCCAGACUUGGCCUCAAUGUAGCUUCAUUGGAGCAAGCGGAUAGUGGAUGCCCCAAGCUCCAUGAAUAAAUAAAAUCUGGAGAAGACAUAGGAAAAGCCAAUGGCUUCAUUUUACAGAUCGGGAAGCUGAGGCAGAGUGACAGGAAGUGGGACACUAAGGCUCAGAGAUGCCUUAACUGGACAGAAGCAAAGUGGUGACUUUACUUCCUGGUUCCCCAAAACCUGUGUCCCUUGCUCAAUUCUGAGACAAAAAUCUUGAUGUAUAUAUGUGUGUGACAAAACUUUUCCUGAGGAGAUGAAACACACUCACCUAGUCACCCCAGACAGGGAACCCAUGACAGUCCAACGUACAGAUACCCCUAAAGUAUUCCAACUUGGUAAACCAAUGAGUUUUACUAGAGUUACUUAUAAAAAUAUGAGGGAGAGGUUACUCACAGGAGCAGAAAUUACUCAAAGACAGGUGCAUCGCCAAGGCCCACCCCAGGGUAGAAGAUGCUCACACAAGCCGGAGCACACUGCACAGCCUGCAGGCAGCUCUACAGCCUGGAGAGUGUCCUUUCCAGGAGCCUCAGUGGUUCUGAACCUCUUCCAGGUGGCUCUUCUGGUCUGAAUCUUCUCAGUAGCUUUCCUCCUCUCAGAAUCUUUGCAUCUCAGCAGGGCUUUGAAUCCUCUGGUAGGGAGGGGCCUAGUGAAUCUGCUCAGUUCCAGGGAGUUCUUGAAGCUGUGUUGUUGUUAACUUCCUUUAAGGAGCAGAGAGGAAUGUUUUGGUCUGGGAGGAGACUGUUACACCACUCCAGACCCACAGACGGGCUCUACUUUGCACCCCAGCCCCACCCUCAGCUGGAUGGGGGCUUUGCACAUCACCUCUCUGGCUCUCAUAGUUCUUCAUCUGCAAAUGGAGAUCGUGAUGGCAAGACCACCUUCUCCUGGGACUGUGGCAGCAGUUAGGGAGACAUGUUGGCAUGAGUUUUCAUGUUUUGUUUCUACGCUGAGACUGGUGUGUCCAGAAUUGGUUGAGUGGAAUGGAGGUGAUCUGGCUGGGUGAAGGUCUGGGAACUGUCAAUCCGGGAACUAAGGGAACUGUAGAAGUUUGGACUGUGGAGCUGAGGGUUCAGGGACUCCUUACCUGCUGCUAGUGCAGGGGCUGGGAAGGAAGCUGUGGUGGAGUUUGGCCCAGUGCCCUGAGCCCUUAUCUGACAGUACUGGGACCUGGGGUUUGUCGGGGAGCUGUGGUACUGAUUUAAUAAGGUGGUAUGUAGAGGGCAGAAACAGGAGCAAAGAGUGAACCCUUAUCCAUCAGAAAAGCAACCAGAAAACUGGAAAGCAUGGUCAGAAACAAACUUUUCAGAACCUUUGUAAUUAAUCAAAGUCUCAUAGUAAUAGAGAGAUCAUUUAUUCAAGGAAGAAGGUUAAGGGACUAGGACAAUGGCUCAGUUGGUUUUAAAAAUAGGUUUGUUUUACAAGCAUGAACAUCUGAGUUUGGAUCUCCAGCACCCUUGUGAAAAGUUGGGCACAGCGUUUACGUCUCUAAUCUCAGAGCUUGUGAGGAAAAGAGGAUGAUCCCUUGGCUUCAUGGUCAGCUAGUCUAUAGCAGAUCAAUGAGCUAUAGGUUCAGUGAGAGACAUGAGUGAUGGAAAAAAGACAGUUGGCAUUGACCUCUGGCCUACAUGUGCACACACAUAUGCAUAUUCAUACAUACAUAUAUGCAUGCAUGCAUGCAUACAUGCAUGCAUACAUACAUAUAUACAUGUACACAAAGGAAGAAAGUUAAGUGUGAACUGAAGCAAGGGCUUUGUGGGGUUCUUGCCUCACUUUCAUGUUCUUUAUUAGAAGGUUGUGAUAGCUUUGGAAACCAACAGGCCACAUCCAUGAUGAAAAAUCAUCCUGACAGCCUGAAGGCACAGAUGGGGUGAAAUGUCUUUCAAGGCCUAAGACUUGACAUUUUUCUUCUUGUCUGCUGAGCCUCUGGAAGACUCCACUUGCAAGGCUGUUUUAUUACCUGACUCACAACUUACCCUGUACAGAAGGCCUUUUGCUGAGUCCUUUUUUCUGGGGAAUGUUUGCCAAGGUAUUUACAAGUAGUUGGGAAACUUGUGGACUACUUAGGUGGCAGAUAAAAUUUGGGGAGAACAAUAGGUUAAACAAAAAAUAUAAUGAAUUGAAUAAUUAGAGGGUGAAACCUCAUAGGAGCCUCAGAAAGCUCUGACCAGUUACUGGGAAUCUGUGAAACUGUAUGCUUGCAGGACUGGGAAGUGCCCACACUCAGGCACUGGUCCAGAAAAGGGUCCUACACUUUCUCUCUGCAUAAGCAUGAAAUGAAAGCCCAGCAGGUAACCAAUUGCCUGGCUGAGUUUUGAGCGCACACACAAAUAGGGUAUAUUUUUGCAUAGACAGAGUAACUUGUUCCAAGUCUUUAAGGAAACCUCUGCCCAGUCAUUGGCUAAAGUAACUGAACAGAAAUUCACUACCAUACACACAAAAGCAUGCAGACCUUACAGAAUAUGUUCAGAGAAGUCAGUAAAGUAAGGAACACAUCCAGGGGAGGGAAGAACAGCUCAUGUCUAGGGCAUCUGCAUUAUGCUGUAUGAAGUCUCCUGUAUGAUAAGCCAUGCAAAGAUACAAGAAACUACAGAAACACAAGGUGGGGGGAAGCAAGCAAUAGAAAGUUUCUGUUGGGAAGCCUAGAUGUCGAGCUUACCCAGAUAGUUUAAGUAGUCUAUUUAAAAUAUACUUGAAGAACCACGGAAAUCACUUUUAAAGAGCCAAGGGAAAGUGGGGUGAUGUCUCAUUGAAUAGGCAAUAAUAACAAAGGGAUAGAAGUUUCUUUAAAAAGAAGUAGGUGGACAUUUAGGAGUUGAAAAGUGUAAUUAAAAUAGGAAGUUCACUGGGAGGAUACAUCCGCAAACUGGAGCAAACAAAAGGGAAAGUUGGGAAACUUGAAGCAGGCCAAAUGAGAUUUCCAUGUCUGAGCAACAAUGAAAAACAAACAGGACUGCGAAGGUCUGUGGGACAUAAUUAAACAUAACGUCAUUCCUAGAAAAGAAAGGAUAGUUGAAGAAAACAUCUGUUGAAAAUACUUUAACCUACACAUCCUCACAGCCAACAGCUAUAAAUAGCACAAGUUCAAAGGCCCGUAUCUGGACACGUCACUCUCAAACUGUUGAAUGUCAGAGAGAGGGCGCAAACCUUGAAAACAAAAGGGAAGAUGUGGUUCGUCUGGUAUUAGGAGUCGAAUAAGCACAAUAGCUGAGCUCCCUCAAGAACUCUCGAAGGCUAGCAGGCAGCAGAUGACAUUCUUAAAGCACCGAAAGACGAAGACUGUUAAUCAAGAUUCUGUAUCCGAUUCCAGAAAGAUGGCUCAGCUGGUACAGGCACUUGCCACCAAGGUUGGUGACCCGAGUCCCGUCCCUGGAGCUCACUUGAUGGAUGAAAAAGCCAGCUCUAGCCUCUGACCUCUACAUCAUGGCAUGCACAUAAUGUCUUCUAUACAUGGACAUAAAAUAAAUAUAUAAAAUGUAAAAACCAUGGUGUCUUUUGGAAAUAUGAAAAAUGAAGACAUUUUUAGGUAAACAAAAACAAGGUGAUGUUUGGCAGACAACCCUUCAAGAAAUCUAAGUGAAGAGCUGGAGACACACCUCAUUAAUAGAGUGCUUACCCAGAUUUAAUCCCUAGCCAUGGGCAAUGCCAAGCACCAAAAGAAACCAACACCUGUUUCAUGUUUUUGGUGUUUUAGUUUAUGGCUACAAUCCCAACACUUCAGCUACUGUAACAGGACGAUCACAAGUUCAAGGCCAGACUGAGCUACAUGGUAAGACCAUGUCACAAACCAAACCAAACCAAACCAACCAAACUAACCAACCAAAUAACCAACCAAACAAGGGCUGGGGUAUGGCUUAGUGGUGAAGAACUUGUAUAGCAUGUGGAAGACUAUGGGAUUGACUCCCUAGUGCCAAAACAAACAAGCGGAGUAAACCAAGAAAAUACUCCAAAGAGAAUCUUUCAGGAUGAAGUCAAGAACACAAGAUUAACUCAACUCCAUAUUAAAAGACAAAGUAGCCAUUAAAGGUACACAGUAUGCACACGUGUAACUUAGAUUACUAUUUAAAUAACUGAUUCUAAGUCUGUCCUGGCAGCCUACAACCUAUAGAGAUAUAAUUUAUAUACUGUAUAUAACAGUAACAACAUAAAGAAAUAAAAGACAUCCAGACUGAAAAGGGGAUAAACAAAAAUACUUCAAUUUGCAGAUAACAUGAUCAUAAUCUUAUAGAAAAUUCCAAGGAUUACACACACACACAACAGAGAGAGACAGAGACAGAGACAGAGAUAUGGAGAGAAAGAAAGAGAAA